rnacentral:rRNA from 1 species
CCCUUAGAUGUCCUGGGCUGCACGCGCGCUACACUGGAAGUUACGGAUUGAGAUACUACCUUGUCCGAAAUGGUCCGGGUAAUCACCUAAAAGCUUGUCAUAAUUGGAAUGGAUUAUUGUAACUAGUAAUUCUGAACGAGGAAUUCCUAGUAAGUCCCAGUCAACAGCUGGUACUGAUUACGUCCCUGCCCUUUGUACACACCGCCCGUCGCUACUACUGAUUGGACGUUUAAGCAAGAUUUUUAAACACUGACAGUGUGUAGUUCACGCUAUACUACAGUGAGAAGAAGAAGAUCGAGCUUACUUGUCUAGAGGAAGUAAAAGUCGUAACA